rnacentral:lncRNA from 1 species
CGAGCACAAAAAACUAUUAUGGAAUUUCAUUGAAAGUUAAAGUCAAAAAGUCGCGCUGAAAAAAUCCUAACGAAGGGCGCAAAAGAGAAGCAAAAGUUUCUCCCCGGCUAUAACGAGUCAAAGUUUCAGUGCUGCUGAUGAACUAUGCGACUGGACCGGAACAUGGUCACAUAUGUGAAUCGGGCAAUGCAGGAGUAGGAGACGGAAAGGAUGCAGGCUUGAUGGCAUCUCUACCAACGUGGAAACCUGUCAGUUUAAGCCGCUUAGAGAAGGGG